rnacentral:rRNA from 1 species
UACAGAGGUCCCAAGCGUUGUUCGGAUUCACUGGGCGAAAGGGUGCGUAGGUGGUUAGGUAAGUCUGAUGUGAAAUCUCUGGGCUCAACCCAGAAACUGCAUUGGAUACUAUCUAGCUAGAGGAGUGGAGGGGGACUGGAAUACUUGGUGUAGCAGUGAAAUGCGUAGAUAUCAAGUGGAACACCAGUGGCGAAGGCGAGUCCCUGGACACUUCCUGACACUGAGGCACGAAAGCUAGGGGAGCAAACAGG